UACACUUUGGUGUAAGAUGCACGUGAAUUUUUGAUAUUUAAAGGAUUAGUUUAAUUCUAUUGGGUGUAA
rnacentral:tRNA from 1 species